rnacentral:rRNA from 1 species
GGAGCCGUAGCGAAAGCGAGUUUUAACUGAGCGUUCAGUUACUUGACGUAGACCCGAAACCGGGCGACCUACCCAUGAGCAGGAUGAAGCGAAAGUAAAAUUUCGUGGAGGUCCGAACCCACGAGCGUUGAAAAGCUCGGGGAUGACUUGUGGGUAGCGGUGAAAUUCCAAUCGAGCCCGGAGAUAGCUGGUUCUCCCCGAAAUAGCUUUAGGGCUAGCCUCAAGGUGAGAGAUACGGAGGUAGAGCACUGAAUGUCCUAGGGGGUAUUGCACCUACCGAAGACUAUCAAACUCCGAAUGCCGUCAUCUUAUACUUGGGAGUCAGACUGUGGGUGAUAAGAUUCAUAGUCGAAAGGGCAACAGCCCAGAUCGUCAGCUAAGGUCCCUAAAUGUAAGUUAAGUGGUAAAGGAUGUGGGAUUGCACAGACAACCAGGAUGUUGGCUUAGAAGCAGCCACUCAUUCAAAGAGUGCGUAAUAGCUCACUGGUCGAGUGAUCCUGCGCCGAAGAUUUCCGGGGCUAAAACUUACUACCGAAGCUACGGCAUCAGUAAUGAUGGGUAGGGGAGCUUCCCAUACGGGUUGAAGCAUGACCGUAAGGACAUGUGGACAGUAGGGGAGUGAGAAUGUUGGCAUGAGUAGCGAGAUGUGGGUGAGAAUCCCACAGGCCGUAAACCCAAGGUUUCCAGGGGAAGGUUCGUCCGCCCUGGGUUAGUCGGGACCUAAGCUGAGGCCGAAAGGCGUAGGUGAUGGACAACAGGUUGAUAUUCCUGUACUACCGAUAACCGUUUGAGAGAAGGGAUGACACAGUAGGAUAAGCUAAGCACACUGUUGGUUAUGUGUGCCCAAGCAUUGAGGCAGUCAAAGUAGGCAAAUCCGCUUUGAUAAUGCUGGGAUGUGAUGGGGAGCGAAAUUUAGUAGCGAAGUAGCUGAUUUCACACUGUCAAGAAAAGUCUCUAUCGAGGUUAAAGGUACCCGUACCGCAAACCGACACAGGUGGGUGAGGAGAGUAUCCUAAGGCCAGCGAGAGAACUGUUGUUAAGGAACUCGGCAAAAUGACCCCGUAACUUAGGGAUAAGGGGUGCCACCAUCAGGUGGCCGCAGAGAAUAGGCCCAUGCGACUGUUUACCAAAAACAUAGGUUUCUGCUAAGUCGCAAGACGAUGUAUAGGAGCUGACGCCUGCCCGGUGCUGGAAGGUUAAGGGGAUCUGUUAGAG